GACGAACGCUGGCGGCGUGCUUAACACAUGCAAGUCGAACGAAGUGGCGAACGGGUGAGUAACGCGUAAUAAACCUGCCCUUCAGAGGGGGACAACAGUUGGAAACGACUGCUAAUACCGCAAACUGAAGGAGGGGAUUGCGUUUGAUGUGCUAGUUGGAGGGGUAAUGGCCCCCCAAGGCGAUGAUCAGUAGCCGGUCUUGGAGGGUGAACGGCCACAUUGGGACUGAGACACGGCCCAGACUCCUACGGGAGGCAGCAGUUGGGAAUCUUCCGCAAUGGACGGAAGUCUGGCGGAGCAACGCCGCGUGAGUGAUGACGGCCUUCGGGUUGUAAAGCUCUGUUAAUCGGGGCGCGGUACCGGAAUAGAAAGCCACGGCUAACUACGUGCCAGCAGCCGCGGUAAUAC
rnacentral:rRNA from 1 species